UGUGGUUAGUGCUCUGAUGUCCCGAUAUAGAUAAUCUUGAAGUAAUUCUUGAUUCUUAGAUCAACUAGAGAACUCUCAGGAAACUUCCUCUCUUCCCACCAAAAAUAUUCAUAUAGUUAUCCUUGGGCGAUCUUGGAUCUUAAUUAGUACACUCACGUUCUCUGUAGAAAAUCGAUACUCUGGAAUACUCCCGGGUGAAGGCUACAUCGGUAUCCGUGCGCUUACGGAUUUUUCUGUUUGCGUUUAAAAUACCCAACAAGCUUUCUAGCGCCGUUGCCGGGGAACGGUAGCUGUGCUAGUUUCGAACCAAGUCGUCCGUGUAUCCUUUUUCUUUUCUUUUUUUACCACACUCACCUUAUCAUUUUCACCAUACCACAUGGAUUUCACUCUAAGCAUUAAUGAGCAUGGAAUUUAUUUCAUAGCCACUUCAUUUACUCCAUGCUCAUAUGCAACAUCUUCACAAUCCAUUGGUCUCUCCAACAUCACCACAUUCG
rnacentral:lncRNA from 1 species